AGAAUCAACGCUGGCGGCGUGCCUAACACAUGCAAGUCGAACGAGAAAGUGGAGCAAUCCAUGAGUAAAGUGGCGCACGGGUGAGUAACACGUGACUAACCUACCCUUGAGUGGGGGAUAACCUAGAGAAAUCUGGGCUAAUACCGCAUAAUACCUUGGGUCAAAGGAGCAAUUCGCUUAAGGAGGGGGUCGCGGCCGAUUAGUUAGUUGGCGGGGUAAUGGCCCACCAAGACUGUGAUCGGUA
rnacentral:rRNA from 1 species